UACGUAGGUGGCAAGCGUUGUCCGGAUUUAUUGGGUUUAAAGGGUGCGUAGGCGGCCCUGUAAGUCAGUGCUGAAAUACCCCCGGCUUAACCGGGGGGGGUGGCAUUGAUACUGCAGGGCUUGAGUACAGAUGAGGUAGGCGGAAUUGACGGUGUAGCGGUGAAAUGCAUAGAUAUCGUCAAGAACACCGAUAGCGAAGGCAGCUUACUGGGCUGUAAACUGACGCUGAUGCACGAAAAGUGUGGGGAUCAAACAGG
rnacentral:rRNA from 1 species